rnacentral:snRNA from 1 species
GGAUGUGAGGGCGAUCUGGCUGUGGUAUCUGUCAUCCCAUUGAUCUCCAGGGUUGAUUUAGUUGAUCUGGCUGGCUACAGAGGUGUCUCCUUCCUCUCUUACUGCUCCAUGUGUGGGCGAGUUCAGUUUAUCCCUCCCAAAGCUGCACGCUUGGUCCAAGAUGAUGACCAUCCCAGAUAGAGGAGGACUGCCCUUCCGUCAAGGGUAUAUGAGUAGCUGCGCUCCCCUGCUGGAACCUCCAAACAAGCUCUCCAAUGCGUGGGGACUUACUUCCUGAAGGGAGACAGCUAAGGAGGUGAGGCUUUGUCC